AAGAGCACACAGACUUUAUGUCUGUCUUUCCUCUCUCUCUCGGUUAUAUACCCAUGCCAAUAAAACACAGAGAAUACACUUUCUCAAACACACAACACAUACACAUUCAAACCAUACUUCUUUUUCAAAACCAUACACAAACAACACUACAACCUCUUCUUAAACAAGAAUCAGUCAACAACCACAGCCGCAUGCCCCCCCCCCCUCUCGGUUCCGAUCUCGACAGUGGAGGAAGACGCGCCGCCAUGAGCGGCGGUGGUGGUGGCUCUGAUCUACGGCAACACCCCCCUAAUUUAUGAAUUACGGCUGCCACCACUAGAUGGUGGUGGUGUGCGGCAACGCUACACAGAGGAAGACGAGAGAGAGACCGAGAGAAGAGAUAGAUGGAGGAAAUCUCCGGCGGUCGGAGACUCGGACCGGCGAUCGGAGACUCAAACCGUCUUCGGUUCAUUUAUCUGGCGGUCCUUGCCUUGGUCCGACGGGUCUCACGGGUUCGCAGUGGUUCGUGUCUUUAUCUGACGAGUUCACGAUGAUGAUGUGCUUAAUCGGCUGAUGGUUUUGUUCGGGUCAGUUCACGGCAUGUUUCGGUUCGGGUCUCGCGGCACGGUUCGGCUCGGGUAACUGCUUAGAGUCUAGGGUCAGAUAUGGACCUCGGUCAACCCGAGCCAACUCGGGUCAACAAAUACAACUCAGCAGACUCGGUUCAAGGUUCAAGUUUCGUGGUUCGGUUCGGCUGACUCGGUCAAACCGAGUCAAACCCGGUCAACUCGGUGAAACCUGGUCAACUCAGCGAGUCGACUCAGUCAACCCAGUCGGUCAACUCAGUUGACUCGGUCAACUUAGUCAACGCCUCGACGCGAAGAAUGGUAACGGUUUAACGAUCGAGAUUAAUUAUGUUAUUUUUCUAAGUUUCAAUCUUACGUAAAAACGAGCUCGAACCGAACAAAACGAUGAGUUAUUAGUUAAAUAUUAACUUGGUCUUAUUUAUUAUUUCGUUUAUAUAAAUUGGCUAUGCAUAAAAAUUAUUGAAUUGUUGA